UACGGCUGCAUGAUAUAGGUAAAAAAGGUCAUUGCGCCUCCUGAGGGGCGUAGCUGUCUAAGACACUGCGUCGCAGUGCUUGAGGCGUCACUACAGACCCGGAUUUGAUCCCAGGCUAUAUCGCAGCUGGCCGUGACCAGGAGACCCAUGAAGCGACGUACAAUUGGCCCAAUGUUGUCCGGGCCUCCACCAUUCUUAAAUGGAAGAAGUUUGGAACCACCAAGACUCUUCCUAAAGCUGUCCACCCGACCAAACUGAGCAAUCUGGGGAGAAGGGCCUUGGUCAGGGAGGUGACCAAGAACCCAAUAGUCCCUCUGAAAUAGCUUCACAGUUCCUCUGUUGAGAUGGGAGAAUCUUCCAGAAGGACAAACAUCUCUGCAGCACUCCACCAAUCAGAUCUUUAUGGUAGAGUGGCCAGACGGAAGCCACUCCUGAAUAAAGGGCACAUGACCGCCAGCUUGGAGUUUGCCAAAAGGAAACUAAAGACUCACAGACCAUGAGAAACAAGAUCUGAUGGUCUGAUGAAACCAAUGUUGAACUAUUUGGCCUGAAUGCCAAGCGUCACGUCUGAAGGAGACCUGACACCAUCCCUACGGUGAAGCAUGGAAGUGGCAGCAUCAUGCUGUGGGGAUGUUUAUCAGCGGCAAGGACUGGGAGACUACUCAGGAUCAAGGGAAAGAUGAACGGAGCAAAGUACAGAGAGAUCCUUGAUGAAAACCUGCUCCAGAGUGCUCAGGACCACAAACUAGGGCGAAGGGUCACCUUCCAGCAGGACAACGAUGCAAAGCCCACUGCCAAAACAACGCAGAAGUGGCUUCAGGAGAAGUCUCUGUCCUUGAGUGGCCCGGACUUGUACCCGAUCAAACAUCUCUGGAGAGACCUGAAAAUAGCUGUGCAGCGACACUCCCCAUCCAACCUGACAGAACUUGAGAAGAUCUGCAGAGAAGAAUAGGAGAAACUCCUCAAAUACAGGUGUGCUAAGCUUGUAGCGUCAUACCCAAGAAGACUCGAGGCUGUAACCGCUGCCAAAGCUUCUUCAACAAAGUGUUGAUUAAAGGGUCCGAAUACUUAGUUUGGAGAGACCUGGCUCUGCGGUAGUUUCUCC